rnacentral:rRNA from 1 species
AUGAACGCUGGCGGCGUGCCUAAUACAUGCAAGUCGAGCGAACGGACGAGAAGCUUGCUUCUCUGAUGUUAGCGGCGGACGGGUGAGUAACACGUGGAUAACCUACCUAUAAGACUGGGAUAACUUCGGGAAACCGGAGCUAAUACCGGAUGAUAUUUUGAACCGCAUGGUUCAAAAGUGAAAGACGGUCUUGCUGUCACUUAUAGAAGGAUCCGCGCUGCAUUAGCUAGUUGGUAAGGUAACGGCUUACCAAGGCAACGAUGCAUAGCCGACCUGAGAGGGUGAUCGGCCACACUGGAACUGAGACACGGUCCAGACUCCUACGGGAGGCAGCAGUAGGGAAUCUUCCGCAAUGGGCGAAAGCCUGACGGAGCAACGCCGCGUGAGUGAUGAAGGUCUUCGGAUCGUAAAACUCUGUUAUUAGGGAAGAACAUAUGUGUAAGUAACUGUGCACAUCUUGACGGUACCUAAUCAGAAAGCCACGGCUAACUACGUG